rnacentral:rRNA from 1 species
GACGAACGCUGGCGGCGUGCUUAACACAUGCAAGUCGAACGGAAAGGCCCUGCUUUUGUGGGGUGCUCGAGUGGCGAACGGGUGAGUAACACGUGAGUAACCUGCCCUUGACUUUGGGAUAACUUCAGGAAACUGGGGCUAAUACCGGAUAGGAGCUCCUGCUGCAUGGGGGGGGUUGGAAAGUUUCGGCGGUUGGGGAUGGACUCGCGGCUUAUCAGCUUGUUGGUGGGGUAGUGGCUUACCAAGUCUUUGACGGGUAGCCGGCCUGGGAGGGUUACCGGCCUCAUUGGUACUGCGAGACGCAGCAGACGCCUACGUGAGGCAGCAGUGGGGAGUAUUGCGCAAUGGGCGGGAGCCUGUGGCAGCAGCGCCGCGUGCGGGAUGACGGCCUUCUGGUUGUGAACCACUUUCGCCUGUGACGAAGCGUGAUUGACGGUAAUGGGUAAGGAAGCACCGGCUAACUACGUG